GAUCGGGAAAAUGACAUUUUGCAGGUACUUGUGAUUUCUGAUCAUUUCUCUUUCUGAAAUCGGUAAUUUUGUGCAAAAAUAACAUGGUAGAUCUGUGAACCUAGUUUGAUAUGCAAACAGAUAUUUUAAGCUUUGCAGUGUCAUGGAUCGUGGAGCAAAUGACAAAAAAAGAGACUUGCCACUGUCUGUCCUGCUAGAAGGCUAGAUAAAGGAAUUAUGAUCUUCUUACUUUAUACAGCUUGUGGGGAGUCUCAAGAAUUAACUUUUUAGAAUUUGCUGAUAAUUCAGUACCAAUAUGCAGUGCCUUCUUCUUGAGAUAGAAAUUAUUAUCUGAAAAUAAAGAAGAAAGUUAAUUUAUUAGUUUGUUAAGGAAGUUAGGCUGUUAUCCAGCUCAGCUAUACUUACCACUUCUUUUCCUCUUCUCUUCUACUGUGUAUAUAAACUCUGGCGUAGCAGAUAUUAUUCAAUAACAAGAUUGAUUUCCUUAACAAUUUCUUUUGUAAUAGAAAUAAACAUUGGAAUCUUGUUAUGUUGAACAAACUCAUUUAAUUAAAUUAUCACUGUAGUUAAUGGAAACAGCGGAUCCUAGCCUGCUUAAAGAUGUUUGCUUUAUUAUUAUUAUUUUUCAAUGUGCUAAACUGCUCAAGUAAACAUGCUAAAUAGCGUUUUAUGGUCUUG
rnacentral:misc_RNA from 1 species